rnacentral:rRNA from 1 species
GAUGAACGCUAGCGACAGGCCUAACACAUGCAAGUCGAGGGGCAGCACAAGGUAGCAAUACUGAGGUGGCGACCAGCGCACGGGUGAGUAACGCGUAUGCAACCUGCCUGUAACAGGGGAAUAGCCUCUUGAAAGAGAGAUUAAUGCCGCAUAAUACGAGAUUCGGGCAUCCGGAUUUUGUUAAACAUUUAUGGGUUACAGAGGGGCAUGCGUGUCAUUAGGUAGUUGGUGAGGUAACGGCUCACCAAGCCGACGAUGAAAAGGGGUUCUGAGAGGAAGGUCCCCCUCCCUGGUACUGAGACACGGACCAGACUCCUACGGGAGGCAGCAGUGAGGAAGAUUGGUCAAUGUAAGCAAGUCUGAACCAGCCAAGUCGCGUGAAGGAUGAAGGUAUUAUGUAUUGUAAACUUCUUUUAUCAGGGAAUAAUGGUCGCUACGUGUAGCGAAGAGGAAUGUACCUGAUGAAUAAGCAUCGGCUAACUCCGUGCCAGCCGCCGCCGUAAUAC